UGGAGAUCAAAACCCCCUUUAGACUUUCUGUUGCAAAAGCAGCCGCCAUCACACCAUGUUGCAUCAUGGAAAAUGGUGUAGGACAUGUGGGAACCUUUCCACUGCCUGCAGUCAUCACGAGACUUUAUCGAGAGUGGAACUGAAGAUGACUUUAGGUCUUGUCGUGUCUUUGGCCAGAUGGAUGGACUCCAUCCUACCCUAUUUUCAGUUUUUCAGUGGAGAUCUCUAUUUUUUUUAUUAUUAAUGAAAAUUGCCUAAUAACACCAGGAAGCCAGCUAACAGUUAGUUCCAGGUGGAUUACCUCAGUUAUCAAUUAACCCUAAGGAGUGAGUCAGAGCUUUCACUUUCAUCUAGAAGCUACGUUUCCUCAUCACCCAAUUUAUGCAACGAUGCAGCUGCUGUGGGUACCUGCGAGAACUUGGCCAGAGGAGGAAACACACAGACAAUUACUUGCUCCAUCACCAAUUGCUGGAACUCUCUUAACUAAUACAAACCAGGACAUUGUCAGCAGCCCAUAAAUCACCGCUGCUUCCCACAUCCAGUGUCUUGUCUCAGCGUAAAGCAGCUCUCCACUCCCUAGUGUAGUUUGCCUGCAGGUGUCCUUUGUUUCUGAGAACAUCUUCAGAAUUUGCACUGAAAGAUGCAGCUCACCUGUAAGGGGAAGUGCUGGUGGGUUGUUUUUGAACAUAUCUGCAAUUCAUUACCAAAUUCUCCCAAGUGAGAAGAGUCUCUCUUUCAGGAGGAGAUACGUAGCUUUGCUUCAGAAAUCCAAAAGCAAUCAAAAAACUCUGAAAAAAAAAUGCUGAAGAUGUGACAUGACAAAUGCACCUCAUCACACACCUCUGGAUGCAGGAACAGCACUGAGCUCACCAAGCUCAGCGCAAUGUGUUCGGCUGUCGUUUCAGCUCAGAUGCAAGGCAAUUUCCUGAGCAAGCCUGAGGCUGAGUGUACGCCACGUGUAUCUCCAAAACCAGAACUGAAUGGCCUACCUGCUCUCCAGGAGGGAUUCUCCAGGCAUGUUCAUCCUUACCUAAGAAAAACGAUAAACACAAGUUAAGUCAUCUUCUAAAGUGCCCAUUAUCUCCUCUGACUGCGAGAAACCUCUUGCUGAGACUUGUGUGUCAAACUUCCAGCAGCCUAAGAUUAAGUGAGGUGACUAUGACUCGGUGACCUGCGAAAUAUUUAUUUUUGCUCUUUUGUGGUGGACCACGGUGGUGUCUCCAUCCUGCUGUGUCAUCCCUCGUCCUGCUGAGAGGCUCAGACCCCUGUUGCAGCAGUACCACCCCGUCUGGUGGUGUGAUCGCUUCCACGACCUCCCAGGGGUUUCUUUCGUGGGGUCCCACGAGCUGGAUUUCGGUAAUGUUGUCAAAAUUUCAGGGUUUUGUUUGAAAUGACGGCUGCUCCUCACCACAGCAGGGAAAUUCUGCGGACCACAAAGCAAACGUGCCCCAGGCAUUCGAACGUCACAAGGGAACUGUUUCUGUUUUCUGAUUUUGUGAUGUUUUAGAGGGCCUGACUCAUUCUCUUUGAACGCUUGGGAUUAGCAAGCCCCUACUCUGUUCAGUCUGUACAGCUCCGAAUCUUGGCACUGCAUCUGUAACGGCACAGAAACAAAAUCCAGACAGUCAAGGACACUCAGAUUUGCUUCCUAAAUUCCGUCCUUCACAGGAGCUGGGCCCAGAGGCAGGUGCUUCAGCUGGAUCACAGUGCCUCAGUCUAUGGAUGUUUUAUUCUGUGCUUUGGCAACAGAAUUUCAAGCCUCUUUUCUGCUCCGAGUCCUACUUUUGUCUGCUUUUUCAUGGACUCUGUCCCAUAAGAGACAUCCCCAGGUGCUGGCAGUGCAGUGCAUGGCCCUUGCGACGUGCUGGAUGCUCUCUGCGCCGCUCAAACCCCUGCAGGACAGUGGCUGGAGGCAUUUGGCUGCUCGGAGUGGGAUGCUGUGGGGUCGGGAUGCUUUCUGAAUGAUCCUGCAGAUGAUGGAUGGGGUCAGCUGUGUAGGUUAGGAGUAACUGAGUCCAUGAGUAAAGGCUAUGUCAUGCUGGGAAGACAGGAAGGGGAGACGUCAGCUGAAUUUUACCCUGCAAAUAUGGCUUAUUUUGUAACUUUUCUGUGAUCAGUCACAGCUAGGAACUGAAUCUGGAUAAAGUAUUAAAUCAAAUUGUGCAACUGUGAGCAGAACAGGUCCCUAAAUAACUUCAAGCAGUUUACCCAGAGCAGCACCAAGGUCCUCUCUUCUCUGAAGCAAUUUCUGGGAUGUUUUGCACGUCAAUGCAAGAGACUCAAGGAGCAUCUUGGACUUCACUGGGGCUUGCUCAAAGGUCUCCUCUGCAAGCAGGUACCUUGACUUGCUUAGAGGCAUGGCCAACCUUUAGACUCUCCUCUCUCUUCCAAGGAUCAUAAUUAUGCUCGUAACUGGUGUGCCAGCUGAACUCUCACCCUUUAUAGCCACAGAGAAAGGUGGUUGUGCUGGAUGUGUGCCUGGAGCAGGGGAUGCCUCCUCCUGACUUGGUGGUGAUCAGGAAUUCACUCGGAUGCUUUAAUGAUGAUUUUUUUCUCAAAGCAUGACAUUAACGUGUAAUCUAGCCUACGUGGCCAACAGAGGAAUUCAGUUCAACAGUGCAGAAGUUCCUCCCGCUGUUGUGGCUGGAGUAUGGGAUUUUCUUGCCCCAAACCCCCUGUUAGACAGGUGCUUUGUAUCAUCUGGAAAUAGCUGCCUUUUAGCACGGGGAUCAAGGGGAUUUCAUGGAGAGCCCAAGAAUUGCUUUCAAGCUUGGCUUAUGUGACGUUAAAAGCUGACUCCACGUGUAAUAAGCACUAAUUUUAUUAAAGCAUAUUUCAGGGUGGGCUCUCCGACAGCAAAUACCACUAUCACAAAUACAAAAGAGGGGUUGGGGGGAAAGGGUUUGUUCGGGGCUUUUAAAGUCUUUUGUUACUGUUCCAAACGAUGGUGCGUCCAACCUAACCCACAGUAAUAAAGAAAAGAUCAUGUCACAGAACUGCUGUCGGUUGAUAACAGAACAACCUGCCUUGGCAUCUGGCAGGGAUGGGCUGGCUGGCUUGCUCAGGAUCAAGUCAAAGCAGGAAUCUUGGCCGUGCUUGUGAAAACAGGAUGCCGAGAGAGCUUUUUGGGUUUCAGUUGAUUAUGACUCCACCUGCAAAAUAUUCCCAACCCGGUAUGUACUUUUCCUGAGGUUGUCCUGAUAUGGUCAAAUGGGAUCUUGGUUCCCCAAAAAACAGGAGGUGUUUUGCUUGCCCUGUCUUGCCAUCUCUUCCUCUCCCUGAUCUUUUUUUUUUUUGUGAAAAGGAGGGGAGAAAAAAUUAAGUCUGCUCAAAAUAAAGAUAAUUUCCUGCAGCAUGAGAGGAGUGUUCUCGGUGGUGUCAAGAAAAAGGAUCUUAAAUGACAAGAUGCUUGAUUCCUCCAUCUAGCUGUUAUUACUUUUCUUGCUUUUGCAGUGGAUCAGCCAUCCCUCGCAGCGUUGUGUGGGAUCGUGGCAUGAACUUCCUGACGUCAUGCAGGAGCAGCAACACAUCCUUCAUCUCCUGUGUAUCAUACCAGCAUGUUCAAAAGGAUUUAAUGAACUGUGACUGUAGUAAACUCUUACAGAAAUUGAUUUGAACAUGCUUUGCAAAGUGAGGUAUUCCUGGCGAGUGCUGCAGUUUCACAAACUCAUCCUCUCGUGUUUUGUAAUCGCCCUUUGAAAGAUCCAGAGAGAUGAUGGAAACUGGGCAUGUGGACAAACCCUUCACAUUGGAGACCCCAAGCAAAGGGAAGCGGGGAACUCUCUCUUCUUUCAGCUGCUGAGGCUUUUCCUUCUCCCAGAGGCUUACAUGCAGCCAGACAUUGCCCAACGUUCCCCUAAAGUUGGUGUCUACAUUGGAGGCACGCUUUUCCGAGCCAAGCUUUGCCAUCUUCAUUUUGCAUGUCCAAAUGGAGCUGAGAGUCUGAAGCAGGCACAGACCUUUCUGACAUCCCAAGACAUACAGUAGACCCGGAAGGAUGAGGCUGAGGCUUUGAGGUUGUAGGCACCUAGGGCUUACAGCAGUUUGAGGUCUGAUCCAGUGUCCUCUCAGUAUGCUUGGGCCAGCUUUGCUUGAAGGUGUGAGGAAGAGGAGGUCGGGGAGGAUUGACAAGAAGCCCGGACCCUGUGCAGCAGAGUGAAAACAUCAACCACAAAGUCAAUAAAAUGCCGAGUCCUGGUGGGAGUGUGCUUGCAAACAUGCUGGAGAACUGGUCUGGGACCUCAGAUUUAGUCAGUCUGGCACCACUUUGGCUUGCGAUCUGACAGCAAAUGGAUCCUUUGGUUUGGUGUGCCCUGACCUGAACGCUCCCAGACUGAAGGCGCUUGGGGAAUGUGUCCCUCAGCUGUUACCUGAGAGGUCUGGUCGUGGAUGAGUGGAGUUGGCUUUACUUCUGUAACUGAUGGGAGGUUGCCCUGGAGCUCUAUAGGAUUAAUGAGGGACCUCCACAGAAAUGCUGUCCUUCUGGUGUGUUCUCUUGAUGGUGCAAAUAAGAUGCUGGGGACAAGACUCUACCCAGAGGCAGGGAAUUGAGACAUCAAUUCCCAACAUCAGGAACUGUUUCUCCUGCAGAAACUAACGAUGAACAGCAGAGCUUGGCUUUGUCCCCAGUUGUCUGUACAGGAUGAGAUGUGAGUUAACGUAAUCUUCAUUAAAAUAUUUGUGAAGCGCACUAUUUUGGUAUAAGUGGAAGAGUGGGAAAAAAAAUUUCUGGGUUCUUUCUCCUGUCCCAUUUAUUUCCAGUAUUGGAAAUCAUUAUCUUAAGGAGAUACUGUCUAUUUAAAUAUCACAAACAUAUUUGAUUUCCCCCCACGUGCAAGCUUAGUAACUUGUAAUGGGAGUAGAAGCAAAUAGGUACGUAUAUUUCCAUUUUCUUCCUUGCUCAUUUGACAGCAUUCCACUUAGACCAUCAGGCUCAUUGCUUCUCCCACGUAGUUGGCAAGUCUUCCCCGGUCAUUUCUCAUGGUCUUCCAGUGGGGAAGAGGAAACAACUCUGAGGAGCACUAAAAUCCCACAAGAGCAGCAGAAGUUAACUGAGUGCCCUGGAUGAAAUUGAAAAACCUUCUUUUAGCUCCGUUUUGAGAAGAUGCACGGGAUAUAAAGUUCAUCGCGUCCUGGUAAGUAGCUGUUGGACAGGAUGCAAAAUCAGGGUAGGUCAGCGCUUUGAUGUUGUUACUGGAGCUGGCUUGGAGGCACUGUGUGGCUUGGACCUCAGACAGGAAUUUAGGCCAGUUGCUGAGGAUGACGGGAAGAAGAAACAGGAAAAAAAUAUAUAUGAAGUUUAAUUUUUCUAAACUUACACCUUUUGGAAGCAGUCUUGCAGUGUACGGGGCGUGUUCUUCAUGCAGGCAUCUCGGUACCAGAUCAGCUUCUGUUCCCUGCCUGGACCAGCAUCUCUCCGUGGGUUAAAACCACCAAAACCCCGCUGAAGCCCAAGGAAAAACUCCUGCGGGUUUCAAAGAGACCCCAGCUGGGCCCGCCCAGCCCAGCCCUGGGACUCGUGCGUGUCCCAUCGAGCAGUGCCCGGGUGGGUGAACUUGAGCAAAAGAGGCUCGUCGGGCUUCUUGAGAUGAGGAAUUGGCCGUGACCGCGUGCUCAGCGAGGAGGAAGCUUUGCAGACAUUACAGGACAGCUAACGUGCCCCUGCUUUUCCAGCUUUGGCUUUACUCGCUGAAAUCAUUAACGCGAGCGUGUACAACAUGUAAAUGCACCGCUUCUUGUCUGAGGAAAGGUGUUAUGCCAUAACAGCCAUCAGAGUCCUUCUCUACCUUUUCAUUUUCAGUUCCUUUUACUUCCUGGCAUUUUAUAUGGGAUCGGGGUUGUAGACCCGAUUAGACCAGGCUGAAUGAGCAGAAGAAAGCUUCAGUAAGCAAAAAAUCUACCCCUUCAAGUAUUUUUCUGUGCAUAAAAACUGCUUGACGUUAGGCUUAGUGAUGCAGGUUAGUUCCUUUGGGACUUUUCUGAUAUGGAUUCACGUUCCUCGACAAUAAAGUCAACGCUGAUAAACUCUAUUUAAGGAAAAACCAAGUUUUCUGAAUAACCUUACUCAUCUGUAAGCCAGCCAGAUCGAUGGCUCUGAAAUUUAGAGGGAAAUUUGAAGCAUUAUUACCCAACUGAUGUUUUUGAGAUCCAUGGCUGGAAAUUCCCUCCCUUGUGCUGGGUGAAUAAUGCACAAUCCGCCCUUCCAUGGGGGUUUCUUAAUGGGUUGUUCAAAGAACCGACAGCUCUGGCUAUUUCACAAAGAUCUGCGGAGGGGGGAUCUUCUUCCCAUUAACAUCUGCAGAUUUUAUGGCACAGGAGGAGGAUUGUUUCAGUGUAGCUCCAGCUAAGCCGAAGUGGUCUUUCUCUUGGUAGUUUGGUAGGAAACAUCUGCUUUCAACCAAAAACAGGAUAGGGGAAGACAUCUGGAAAGAAGCAAAGAAUCAACCAGAUUUGCCUGAAGGUUUCAUCCAAGUCUUGUGUCGUUACUUUGUCUGAACUGCUUUGCCUGUUUGCAAUAAUUAGGACAGCUGACUAGGAGAAGUGAAACAGCAUGGCCCGAAAAUCCUUACUUUAUUGGUCCCUUUUCCUUGUUUUUCAGUCUUAUUACAAGUCAGAUCAGAAGGAAGAGACUCUGAAUGCUUGCACUUCGGCCGGGAAGUCAAUGAGCUGUAUAAUUUAUGUUGGAAUGUCAGCAUCCGAGCAGGCAUAAAAUUACAACUCGUUAUCGCUGUCGGAGGAGCGGGGUCUUGGGUUUCUUGGCUGGUCGCGGUCGUCUUUUGGAGAGGUUGCCCCGGGGAAGCUUUACCUGGUGGUGUGGCGCUGCCUGGUUAUCUCAGGAAAGGAAGCCAGCAAAGAAUGUGCUGUUCUUGUUCCUGAAAGGGCUGGCAGGUCUUUCUCUUCCCCAGCACAGCUGUUGCAUUGAAUUUAUUCUAUCCCAACUCUUGUAGCUCGGGAACUGCCUGCGGGAGGCAGCCGGCACCUCCUGAGCCCUGUUACGCAGGGAAAUGGUGGAGAAGCAACCUGCAGGCAGGCUUUCCCUUCA